rnacentral:rRNA from 1 species
GCAGCCGCCGCGGGAAUACGUAGGUGGCAAGCGUUGUCCGGAAUUAUUGGGCGUAAAGGGCUCGCAGGCGGUUUCUUAAGUCUGAUGUGAAAGCCCCCGGCUCAACCGGGGAGGGUCAUUGGAAACUGGGAAACUUGAGUGCAGAAGAGGAGAGUGGAAUUCCACGUGUAGCGGUGAAAUGCGUAGAGAUGUGGAGGAACACCAGUGGCGAAGGCGACUCUCUGGUCUGUAACUGACGCUGAGGAGCGAAAGCGUGGGGAGCGAACAGGAUUAGAUACCCCGGUAGUCCCUGUCUCUUAUAC